GUGCUCGCUUUGGCAGCACAUAUACUAAAAUUGGAAUGAUACAGAGAAGAUAAGCAUAGCCCUUGGCAAGGAUGACACGCAAAUCCAUGAAAUGUUCCAUGUUUAA